UACGGAGGAUCCGAGCGUUAUCCGGAUUUAUUGGGUUUAAAGGGUGCGUAGGCGGUUUGAUAAGUUAGAGGUGAAAUGUCGGGGCUCAACCCCGAAACUGCCUCUAAUACUGUUGGACUAGAGAAUAGUUGCGGUAGGCGGAAUGUAUGGUGUAGCGGUGAAAUGCUUAGAGAUCAUACAGAACACCGAUUGCGAAGGCAGCUUACCAAACUAUAUCUGACGUUGAGGCACGAAAGCGUGGGUAGCAAAUAGG
rnacentral:rRNA from 1 species